rnacentral:rRNA from 1 species
CCCUUCGGGGUACUCGAGCGGCGAACGGGUGAGUAACACGUGGGCAACCUGCCCCUAGCUCUGGGACAACUCCGGGAAACCGGGGCUAAUACCGGAUACGACCUCGCACGGCAUCUCGCGAGGUGGAAAGUUUUUCGGCUAGGGAUGGGCCCGCGGCCUAUCAGCUUGUUGGUGAGGUAACGGCCCACCAAGGCGACGACGGGUAGCCGGCCUGAGAGGGCGACCGGCCACACUGGGACUGAGACACGGCCCAG